rnacentral:misc_RNA from 1 species
GAUGAAGAACGCAGCGAAAUGCGAUACGUAAUGUGAAUUGCAGAAUUCAGUGAAUCAUCGAAUCUUUGAACGCAUAUUGCACUCUCUGGUAUUCCGGAGAGCAUGCUUGUUUGAGUAUCAGUAAACACCUCAACUUCCAUAUCUUUUUUGAAAUGGGAGUUGGACUUGAGUGAUCCCAACGCUUUUCCUCACCGAAAAGUGGCGGGUUACUUGAAAUGCAGGUGCAGCUGGACUUUUCUCUGAGCUAUAAGCAUAUCUAUUUAGUCUGCCUAAAAAACAGAUUAUUACCUUUGCUGCAGCUAACAUAAAGGAGAUUAGUUCUUGUGCUGACUGAUGCAGGAUUCACAAAGACAGGCUUCGGCCGACUUUGUAAACUCGAUCUCAAAUCAAGUAAGACUACCCGCUGAACUUAAGCAUAUCAAUAAGCGGAGGA